rnacentral:rRNA from 1 species
CGGUCAACGGGAGGAGGACGAGUAUUCAUGACACCGUACCCACCGUGGCUGGGGGCUGGGGCAGAGAAGGAAGUGGCCGGCGGCCGGCGGCCCGGCCUGGAUGGGUCGACGACGGCGACUCGAGGGAGGGGGCAGUCUACUCGAGUCAUCCCGCACUCUUUCUCUGCUCGAGUUAACCCGGAUGGAUGGAAUUUCGUUGCAGUCUUCAUAUGCCACCAACACUUUUCACUGGCAGAGAUUUCAGGUCCUGAAGUCAUUGUUGAAGACAUGGAUUGAACCGGCUUACGAAGCACGGAGAGAAGAAUUUCUUUCCAUUUUGCUAUGCAUAACAAUGCGCGCGCGCGAUUCCACGGAAACUUCCGACUUUAUUCAGGUGGAUAAAACCUCGACAUGUGGAGAGCAUGCGCGCGCGAGAUUCCACAGAAACUUCCGACUUUCUUCUUAGGAGGAUAAAACCUUGACAUGUGGAGAGCUGCCUGAUAACAAAAAUUCAGUGAAGCUAGACCUGUAUCUAAUUCUACCAGUCAAGCUUUCGGCGCAUCUUAACAUAUUCCAGUCUACUCGAUUUGGAUACAGUUGAGUUGGAGGGGGACACGAGCCUUUGGUCUGGUGUCAUGAUGGCCUACAACUCCCUUUCUGCUGCUACCGGUUCUCCCACGGGGCCCUUCAAGUGUGUUGUUUGUUCCCUUAAACACGGGGUGGAAGUGGUUCCCACCUCACGCUGCCCUUAGAAAAUCCAUGUUUAUGAUUGGUAUCGCUGGCCGUGGAUUGUGCAGUUGUUGACUGGUUUUUGUAACUUCAAGGCUUAUAGCCCC